GCCGCUGAAGCAGAGUAUGUGAACUUAACCACUCGGCCAUGGGGCCGGCCCCUCUUUCAUUUUUAAUAUUGUAUUUAAUUAAGUCCAUUGUAGAAAUGUAGUCAAAUAGCCAUAUCUAACUGCAGGGGGUAGACUAGGAAAUAUGAUAGCCAUUUGCCCAUCAUUUCUGUUACAGUGGUAGAAGUGGAAGCUGGAUUCUUGGUGGAUACUUAGCAGUCUCUGCUACACUCUCUUAAUGCUUUUUAAAUAAAAGCAACUAAUAUGUACAUAAGAAAGAACUUUUUAAGUACAGAAACAUAAAGCAAAAUGCAGAUCUCUCUAUCUUCCUAUCAGUCUUAUUUCCUAGAGGUAACCACUAUUAAAUUUCUUGUGUAUCUUUCCAGAAAAAAAAAUUUAUUUAUAUGCCAAAUGUAUUUCCAUAUAUAUAUUGAUAUUUUGAGUUAAUUUAACUCAAAAAAGAUUGUAUUAUACACACUUUUUCACCUUGCUCUUUUUUCACUUUCCUUUUCCUAUCAUGGCAUGUGGGUUUACUUUGUUCAUUGCAGUGACUGUAUAGUACUCCACUGUGUGGAUGGAAUGUUAUUUAAACGUUAUCCUUAUGAUGGACAUUUAGAUCCUUUAUGGUUUUUACUCUUACAGGCAGUGCCAUGAUAAACAGCUCUGUGUGCAUAUUAGUAUAUUUUUGCGACCAUAUCCAUUGGAUCAGGUCCCAGCAAUGGAAUUUGGUUGAUAAGAACACAGCUACCAUUCCCUUGCCUUUGGCAUAACUGGAAGACAGGAAACUACGAACUUCAGAUAAUAGUAAGUAGAACAAUAAAGACCGCUUUCUGGUGGGCUGAGUUCGCUCCAAGUCUGUGGAGAGCUAGAGGGAGCGUUGAGAAACUGCACAGAAGGAACGUAAGGAAACUUAGACGAAAUCACUCUCAGGGAGAGAACGUUCACUGUAAGAGUGAAAAUACUGGAAAAGAGUCCUGUUAGGUAAAGCAGUGACCUCAGGGAAGGGAGUUUUUAAUAGUGCCCAGGAAUAAAGAAGGCAGUCAUGCAAAGGCAUUGCUUCUGGGGAGAAAAAAGAGUAAAAUGGAAGGGAGAGGCACCUUUGGAAAUAGUGAAGUGAAGGAAAAAUGAAGCAAGAGGUAAACUUAUCUGUCUGUAAGACAAAAACCAAAAAAAUUGAAGGACGUGCUGCGUCCCCUACCACUCUCCCUAAAAUCAAGACACCCGUUAACUAAACUUCACGUUGCUGUGCUGACAGAAGAGGGCACUCUCAAAUUGACAUUCUUGUUUGUCAUCCCAGACUGCCACGCCAUCCAAAGGGCCGAGAUACAAGUAGUUUAUAUAUAACUACUAAGGAAGAAAACCAAAAAUGAGAAUUAAAAACUUCAGUUGACAAAAUUCUCUUCACUGUGCAAGUCAAUCAUGAAGCAGAUGAUGACACGGCAGUCUGAGUUCAGUCGCCUCCAAUAAGCAUUUGAGGUUAUGAAAAUCCUGAGUUCAGAAACCAGUGACAGAAGGGGAGUAAAAUAGGAAGAAGUAAAUUUAGAGCUGAUUGAAUUAAAAUGGUGGCGGGGCGACAAAGUCACAUAUCAGAAAUUAAGACAAAAUUACAAAGUACUCGGGAGAAUAUAUUUGAGUCAAAUUUAAUAAGGAACAUUGAAGAAAAUGGGGAAAAUAACCAAGAAAAUGAAGAUAAAGAAAAAGGUAAAUAUUGGAAAAAAGUGACUAAAAUGGAAGCCAGGCAAAGAAGACCAAAUGUACAUAUAAUUGGAGUGUCUGAAGAAGAAAAACCAGGAACAGACUAUUUAAAACUAAUCCAAGAAAGCAUUUCAGAAAUAAAGUUAAGGCCGAGAUCUACAUAAUGAAAGAGACCACUGAGCACCUGGGAAAAUUGACCUAGAAUGAUCCAACUGGAGUAAAUGUCCACAUAUAACAAUUACAUUUUUAAAAUUAAGAAAAAAUCCUUGGGACCUGGAAGGAAAAAGAUUAAAUUACUUACAAGGAUAAGAGACUUAGAGUAGCAUCAGACUUCUCAAAAGCAACAUGCAGAACAAGGCAACAGUGGAAAAGCACUUCAGGAGACUCAGUCGUGUAUUAAGACUAAAGAAAACAGUUUUAAAUAUGCAAGAACUGAGGGAAUUCUGUGUUUCCAGGCUCUUCUUGUAUCUAUUAGAGGAUGAGCUUCAUUCAACCAAGAGAUGACUGGAGGAAUUUCAGCAAAAGGAUGGAUGGUGCUUAUUUAAUUAUAAUUCUAAGACUACAGCAAGGCUGGAGAACAAUGUAUAAAUGCCAUUUUAGUUGCAGAAAAAAUGCAACUGAAAGAUGAGAGGAGAAGGAACAGGUAAAGAGUAAAGCAGGAGUUCACUGAUUGUUGUGAGCCUACAGGUAUCAUAAAAAUAGACAACCCAGUUAAUAAGAUGUUAAAUAAGGGAACAGACUAAGGGCAUUUUUAAAAAGGUAUAAUUACAAAGGUAGCCACUAGACCAAAAAUAUAAACCUUCGUAAAUAUCGGUAUAAAACACAUCACAUAGAUACCAAAUAUAACAUGGUACAUAAAGUAAUUAUUAAAAAAUAAGGAAAACCAAAAAUGUCUCUUGCACCAAUAAAUACAAAUGGCUUAACUUAUUAAAAUCGCAUAUCUCAUUUAUUAAAAGAAAAAGAUGUCCAGUUUGCAUCAUGAAGCAAGACCAACUAUAUAUGGUAUAUGACACUUAAAAUCAAUCUGAAAGGUUAAACAUAAGGGAUGGGCAAAGGUAUACCAGGAGAAUGGAAACAGCCUAGCAAUAUUUGUGAUCUUAAUAUUAGACAACGUAAAAUUCAAGCAUUGUGACAAGGAAAGACAUUUUCAAAUGCUAAAAGCCACAGAUUACAAUAAAAGAUCUAUGCCUUAAAUAAUCCAACUAUCAUUUUUAUAAAGCAGAAACUAUAGGAUAUCCACAGAGACACAGGUAGAAACAAAUAAUAGACUUAAACACACCAUAAUUAGUACAAGGAAAGUCAGAUGGACCAAAAUAAGAUAUAGGAGACCUCACAUAAUAGGUAGA